rnacentral:lncRNA from 1 species
CGAGAGAAAGAGAAGCGAAAGAGGAACGCGUGCAGCACUCCAGCUUCCCAAGAAACACUGGAGAUGAAUAAAUGAUUCACCACGUGGCCAGGACUGCAGCCCUUUCUCUGGAAGAGAAUUCAAGCCCACUUUAUUUAAACCAAGGGGCUACAGACCUGGUGGUGGAGGUCUUCAACCACUGGAAUUCCCUUGGGAGACCAUUAGAAUGGUAUUUUUUUACCCUUUACUUGGCUAUGGGGUUCCCUGAAUAGUGAUACCUCCCUAAGGAGAAAAGUGCAAGGCCUCGCCACUGUUUUCCAGCAACAAAGGAAUGAAUUCCAUAAGCUCCUGCUGAACAUACUGCUAGAGUUAGAAUGUGUGUCAAAGUGAGAUGAUUCUUUGAAGGUCUUUGUAAGCCAGUGUUAUCCCA